AGGAUGAACGCUGGCGGCGUGCCUAAUACAUGCAAGUCGAACGGUAAGGCUUUCACUCUGUAUUUGAAGUUUCGAAUAUAGUGUGAAAGUACACGAGUGGCGGACGGCUGAGUAACGCAUGGGAACGUACCCCAAAGUGAGGGAUAAGCACCGGAAACGGUGUCUAAUACCGCAUGUGCUCUUCGGAGUAAAGCUUUAUGCGCUUUGGGAACGGCCUGUGUACGAUUAGAUAGUUGGUGAGGUAAUGGCUCACCAAGUCUACGAUCGUUAGCUGGUCUGAGAGGAUGACCAGCCAGACUGGAACUGAGACACGGUCCAGAUUCCUACGGGAGGCAGCAGUAAGGAAUCUUCCACAAUGGCGAAAGCCUGAU
rnacentral:rRNA from 1 species